CACGCUUAGGUUGGGAUGGCCACGGUUUGCUUUUGUGUUUUUGAGCGACGGGGGUGGAGUUGGGCGAGGCGAGAUGGUGAAGUUGGACGAGGCGAGAUGGUGAAGUUGGACGAGGCGAGGAGGAGAUGAGUUGAAGUGGAGUGGGGAGUUGGACGCUUGGAGUGUGUCGGUUGAGUGAGUUGGACGAGGGGAGAAGUUGUUUGUCUGACUGACUGUUUGACGUUCGUUUGACUCAGUUUGUAGUCUGUUCGAUCUUAGUCUGACUCUGUCUGACUCUGUCCGACUCUGUUCAACUCCGUUUCACUCCGUCCGCCAUCGGAUAGCGUUCUAUUGAUGGAAAUUAGCCAUUGAGUACCUACUCCAUCCCACUCGUAGUCUUACUCAGUCCUACCCCCACUCCUACUCAAUCAACACGUACUACUACAGCGCCUAUGACACCGCUCUCACCCUACUCCCUUUCUCGCCUCCUCCAACAUCCGCCAACUCCUGCUCUUGGCUACUCAAGCUUCGCACUCUUGGCUGGACCUACUCGGACACCUAAAAGACACUGUUCCUGGCCAAUGCGUUUGGGGUGUCUCCAGACCUUGUCCUGGUCUGGACCAACGCUGGCGUUGUCGCUGACACCACCAACCCAACACCAAUGUCUCAGCGGGGGACCAGGUGGACAUUUCUCGCUUUCUCCCAGAUGGCGCUCUCAUAGAUGAAAUCGCGGAGCCGAACAGUCUGACAUGCAAAUCAAGUUGAUCAAAAACAUCUAGGUUCUGCCAAGCUUACCCUGGAACCACUAGAUCCCGGAUGCCAACUCAGAGCCUACCAGCAUCAGAGUCGCUAGUCUAACCCUCUUUCUCCGUACGUGCUUCCGCGUCGGGCUCCGUUUUUUACCGUUGAUCGUCGACGUCAUACCGAGGCAUGCGAGCGAGACCGCGAGACAUGAGGUUCUGGUCCGUGGUCGGUUGGAGAUUAGUUGAUUGAGAAGAUGCUGACGUCGGCUGCUGGAUGCUGGACCAUUCCCAAUACACAUGUCCAGUUCUCCACCCUUCAGACUGUUUUCACCCAUUUGACCACACUGCAAGCUAAUGCGAGACCAAACCGCCAUAUAUGACCAAGCUGUGGCAGAUCUAGACUGCAACUGAGACAGCCACGAGCUCCAUGGAACCACUGCGACGACGCUCGUAUUACUCUCUACUCUCGACUUCGCUUUUCUUUUCUGGGAACCUUGGCCAAACCAGCGUGGUCUAACCUACCAGUGUCUGAGACUCUGAGACAGACAUUCAUCAGGUACUGGGAUUGGUUGUGCUACUUGGUGCCGUUUGAUAACGCCAGCCGACGUGUUAUUGGAGCAGUCUACUUGUAGCAACCAACUUGUGUCUGACUUAUUGGUUCCACCGUCCACGCUACGCUAGCUCGCACGGCUACUAGCUCCUGCCAACAAUUGCUACUAGUCGCCAGCCCAGGAACAGGCCUUUAGCCGCGUGCAACUCAUGUCAUGUAGGUCGUAAAUCCACGGCACCGAUGCACAAUGA
rnacentral:misc_RNA from 1 species